GUUAUAGACAGCCCAAUACAGUCCGCUACAUUAACAUUGCUUGGUUCGACUAACGAAGACACUACCGAAAGAUCGCCCACCCAGAUGCAGAGUGUGCCGUUUGUUAACCCUAUUGACCUCUAUUAACACCUCCAUAACCACACAACCUUGACAUUCUUAGUGGUCGGCUGGGUGGUCGUCGUUCAUAUGAACACGUGGUGGCGACCAUUUGGAAUACAAUGUCAGGAUUACUGUUUGAACCAGCACGUAGAACUGUACAGCACGGAUGACAAAUAAGUAACGUAUUACCGGUCCUUAGAAUGGCCGGAUUUAACGUACAAAGAAUAGUCAAAAAUACUAGCCGAGGUCAGGGAACACAGAAAGGGACACAGCGAUGAGGAAAGCCAGGAGUCAGGAUACCAGAAUAUAGAGAAGUCAAUAAACAAAGCCAAAGUCAAAAACCAGGUAGAAAACUAUAAACAGGAACGCGCUCUCGGACAACCACAAGGGAAACCACGACAGGGCACUGAGCAG